rnacentral:rRNA from 1 species
CAUGCAAGUCGAACGGUAACAGGAAGAAGCUUGCUGUUUUUGCUGACGAGUGGCGGACGGGUGAGUAAUGUCUGGGAAACUGCCUGAUGGAGGGGGAUAACUACUGGAAACGGUAGCUAAUACCGCAUAACGUCGCAAGACCAAAGAGGGGGACCUUCGGGCCUCUUGCCAUCGGAUGUGCCCAGAUGGGAUUAGCUAGUAGGUGGGGUAACGGCUCACCUAGGCGACGAUCCCUAGCUGGUCUGAGAGGAUGACCAGCCACACUGGAACUGAGACACGGUCCAGACUCCUACGGGAGGCAGCAGUGGGGAAUAUUGCACAAUGGGCGCAAGCCUGAUGCAGCCAUGCCGCGUGUAUGAAGAAGGCCUUCGGGUUGUAAAGUACUUCAGCGGGGAGGAAGGGAGUAAAGUUAAU